AACGAACGCUGGCGGCAUGCCUAACACAUGCAAGUCGAACGAGACCUUCGGGUCUAGUGGCGCACGGGUGCGUAACGCGUGGGAACCUGCCCUUAGGUUCGGAAUAACUCCCCGAAAGGGGUGCUAAUACCGGAUAAUGUCUUCGGACCAAAGAUUUAUCGCCUUUGGAUGGGCCCGCGUUGGAUUAGCUAGUUGGUAGGGUAAAAGCCUACCAAGGCGACGAUCCAUAGCUGGUCUGAGAGGAUGAUCAGCCACACUGGGACUGAGACACGGCCCAGACUCCGACGGGGGGAAGAAGGGGGAAAUAUGGGAAAGGGGGAGAAGGCCUGACCCAGAAUGCCCGCGUGAGUAAUGAAGGCCUUGGGGUUGAAAAGCUCUUUUACCCGGGAGGAUAAUGACAGUCCCGGGAAAAUAAGCCCGGGCUAACCCCGUG
rnacentral:rRNA from 1 species